rnacentral:tRNA from 1 species
GGAUACGUGCCUGAACCAAAGGAUCACCUUGAUAGGGUGAAUAAUAGAGGUUGACCCCUCUCGUCUCCU